rnacentral:rRNA from 1 species
CUGUCGGCGUGCUUAACACAUGCAAGUCGAACGGAAAGGCCCUGCUUUUGUGGGGUGCUCGAGUGGCGAACGGGUGAGUAACACGUGAGUAACCUGCCCUUGACUUUGGGAUAACUUCAGGAAACUGGGGCUAAUACCGGAUAGGAGCUCCUGCUGCAUGGUGGGGGUUGGAAAGUUUCGGCGGUUGGGGAUGGACUCGCGGCUUAUCAGCUUGUUGGUGGGGUAGUGGCUUACCAAGGCUUUGACGGGUAGCCGGCCUGAGAGGGUGACCGGCCACAUUGGGACUGAGAUACGGCCCAGACUCCUACGGGAGGCAGCAGUGGGGAAUAUUGCACAAUGGGCGGAAGCCUGAUGCAGCAACGCCGCGUGCGGGAUGACGGCCUUCGGGUUGUAAACCGCUUUCGCCUGUGACGAAGCGUGAGUGACGGUAAUGGGUAAAGAAGCACCGGCUAACUACGUGCCAGCAGCCGCGGUGAUACGUAGGGUGCGAGCGUUGUCCGGAUUUAUUGGGCGUAAAGGGCUCGUAGGUGGUUGAUCGCGUCGGAAGUGUAAUCUUGGGGCUUAACCCUGAGCGUGCUUUCGAUACGGGUUGACUUGAGGAAGGUAGGGGAGAAUGGAAUUCCUGGUGGAGCGGUGGAAUGCGCAGAUAUCAGGAGGAACACCAGUGGCGAAGGCGGUUCUCUGGGCCUUUCCUGACGCUGAGGAGCGAAAGCGUGGGGAGCGAACAGGCUUAGAUACCCUGGUAGUCCACGCUGUAAACGGUGGGUACUAGGUGUGGGGUCCGUUCCACGGGUUCCGUGCCGUAGCUAACGCUUUAAGUACCCCGCCUGGGGAGUACGGCCGCAAGGCUAAAACUCAAAGGAAUUGACGGGGCCCCGCACAAGCGGCGGAGCAUGCGGAUUAAUUCGAUGCAACGCGUAGAACCUUACCUGGGUUUGACAUGGAUCGGGAGUGCUCAGAGAUGGGUGUGCCUCUUUUGGGGUCGGUUCACAGGUGGUGCAUGGCUGUCGUCAGCUCGUGUCGUGAGAUGUUGGGUUAAGUCCCGCAACGAGCGCAACCCUUGUUCACUGUUGCCAGCACGUUAUGGUGGGGACUCAGUGGAGACCGCCGGGGUCAACUCGGAGGAAGGUGGGGAUGACGUCAAGUCAUCAUGCCCCUUAUGUCCAGGGCUUCACGCAUGCUACAAUGGCUGGUACAGAGAGUGGCGAGCCUGUGAGGGUGAGCGAAUCUCGGAAAGCCGGUCUCAGUUCGGAUUGGGGUCUGCAACUCGACCUCAUGAAGUCGGAGUCGCUAGUAAUCGCAGAUCAGCAACGCUGCGGUGAAUACGUUCCCGGGGCUUGUACACACCGCCCGUCAAGUCAUGAAAGUUGGUAACACCCGAAGCCGGUGGCCUAACCGUUGUGGGGGAGCCGUCGAAGGUGGGACUGGUGAUUAGG